GACGAACGCUGGCGGCGUGCUUAACACAUGCCAGUCGAACGGCAAGGCCCUGCUUUUGUGGGGUGCUCGAGUGGCGAACGGGUGAGUAACACGUGAGUAACCUGCCCUAGACUUUGGGAUAACUUCAGGAAACUGGGGCUAAUACCGGAUAGGAGCUCCUGUUGCAUGGUGGGGGUUGGAAAGUCUCGGCGGUUGGGGAUGGACUGGCGGCUUAUCAGCUUGUUGGUGGGGGAGUGGCUUACCAAGGCUUUGACGGGUAGCCGGCCUGAGAGGGUGACCGGCGACAUUGGGACUGAGGGACGGCGCAGAGGCGUACGGGAGGCAGCAGUGGGGAAUAUGGCACAGUGGGCGGAAGCCUGAUGCAGAAACGCCGGGUGCGGAAAGACGGCUUGCUGGGUGUAAACCGCUUUCGCCUGUGACGAAGCGUUAGUGACGGUAAUGGGUAAAGAAGCACCGGCUAACUACGUG
rnacentral:rRNA from 1 species